rnacentral:rRNA from 1 species
CCCUUAGAUGUUCUGGGCUGCACGCGCGCUACACUGAUGCGCUCAACGAGUUUUAACCUUGCCUGGAAAGGUUGGGUAAUCUUUUUAAAACGCAUCGUGAUGGGGAUAGAUUAUUGCAAUUAUUAAUCUUCAACGAGGAAUUCCCAGUAAGUGCGGGUCAUCAGCUCGCGUUGAUUACGUCCCUGCCCUUUGUACACACCGCCCGUCGCUGCCCGGAACUGAGCCGUUUCGAGAAGACUGAGGAUUGCUGACUUGAGGCCUUCACGGGCUUCUAGUCGGUGAAAAUCAAUUUAAUCGCAGCGGCUUGAACCGGGCAAAAGUCGUAACA